AAUGAACGCUGGCGGCAGGCCUAACACAUGCAAGUCGAACGCGUGGCGGACGUGUGAGUAACGUCUGGGAAAUUGCCUUAUGGAGGGGGAUAACUACUGGAAACGGUAGCUAUUACCGCAUACCAUUCGCUGUUCCCUGAUGGGAUUAGCUAGUCGGUGGGGUAAAGGCUCACCUAGGCGACGAUCCCUAGCUGGUCUGAGAGGAUGACCAGCCACACUGGAACUGAGACACGGUCCAGACUCCUACGGGAGGCAGCAGUGGGGAAUAUUGCACAAUGGGCGAAAGCCUGAUGCAGCCAUGCCGCGUGUAUGAAGAAGGCCGUCGGGUUGUAAAGUACUUUCAGCGGGGAGGCGUUACCCGCUGAAGAAGCACCGGCUAACUCCGUGCCAGCAGCCGCGGUAAUAC
rnacentral:rRNA from 1 species